UGCGUGAGCGGAACGAAAACAACAACACCUAAAAUGUGGAAUAUAGCAUAUAGUCGACAAGAGAAAUCUACGAAAAACAAACAAAACUUUCAACAACGGAUCUCUUGGUUCUCGCAUCGAUGAAGAGCGCAGCGAAAUGCGAUACCUAGUGUGAAUUGCAGCCAUCGUGAAUCAUCGAGUUCUUGAACGCACAUUGCGCCCCUCGGCAUUCCGGGGGGCAUGCCUGUUUGAGCGUCGUUUCCAUCUUGCGCGUGCGCAGAGUUGGGGGAGCGGAGCGGACGACGUGUAAAGAGCGUCGGAGCUGCGACUCGCCUGAAAGGGAGCGAAGCUGGCCGAGCGAACUAGACUUUUUUUCAGGGACGCUUGGCGGCCGAGAGCGAGUGUUGCGAGACAACAAAAAGCUCGACCUCAAAUCAGGUAGGAAUACCCGCUGAACUUAAGCAUAUCAAUA
rnacentral:rRNA from 1 species